UUUUCUGAUAUAUGUUGGGUACCAUAGAGUGAAUCUCAGAACAGGAAGCGGAGGCAUAAGCAGAGAGGAUUCUGGAAAAGGCUCUUUGUUUUCUUAUCCACAGAGAAAGCAAAGAAAAUAAAAUAUUGUAGUUAAUAUAUAAACCUCUGUGGCCAAAAAUCUGAACAACUGCAAGGGAAGGCUCAUUGUACUCUAACCAUCUUGGAUGCGGGCUUUGUUAUGCUGUGAUCCAUAAGGCUCUGUUUUAUCAGGAACCAAAGGCAUCAUCUAAUGUGUAAACUGCUUACUAUUCCUUUAUCUCAAAGGAAAUAGAGCCUCUGCAGAGAAAUGGUGACUUAUGGUACAGACUAGGCAAAACUGAGCUUGCAUCUUUGAAACACGUAUCUACAUGCUUAUGAUUCAUUGUAAUCAGACGAAAUAUUUUUUAAUACACAAAGCUAGCCUAAUUGCUUUUGUGACUGUACACUUAUAUUUAAAUGUCCAUUGUGUCAAGUAUUUUUUAAACAUAAAUGUAUAGUGAAAUUGUAACUAUCAUUCUUAUGCUUUAGUCCUUUUUUUAACAGCUUUGGAGAGGCCAUGCGUAAUAGUGAGUGAUAACAAUAUAGAGAUGUUUAGCUCUUUGAAAAACAUUAUUAUUUGUCUCUAAAAUAAUUUAUUCUCAUCAAUACUAAAUUAAAAAGAGAUUUAACCUUUUAAUAAUAAAAUGAUCCCUAUAUACUCUAUUAUAUGUUAUUUCUUUAUUUUAAUAUAUUCAUUUUAUAUUAAAUAUUUACCAAUUUAUUGAUUUAAAGGGAAUUGUUAUUUUCUUGAUGAAUUUUCUCAUAAGCUUCAUAUAUUUCUAUAUUUUUCUCUGUAGGCUUAAUAGGUUGUUAUUAUUAUUAAUUAUCUGGGAGAGCUACAUGGACAAAAACCAAUUAUUUAGUUUACAUACAAUUUAUAUUUUCUGUAGUUUUCUUUAAAAUAUUUUAUAGCAUAAUCAUAAAUGUUUUACUCAGUAGUCACAUAGAACAGAAAAUUACCAUCAGAAAAUGUAUAAGUAUUAAUUUAAAUAAGAGUUUUAAAAAUCAUAGAGGUUUUUUAAAAAAUACAACAGGUGGUGUAAUGUAGCAUAUAAGGACAAAGAUAAAGGCAUAAAUGCUUGUAGGAAUUUGCAUGAAAACAUUUCAUCACAAUCAGUCUAAGUAGUGAGUACCCUACAUGGAAUAAAGACUUCUGAUUUCAGCCUGGGUUUCUAGUCAGUACUGGUCAAAUUAUCCUAAAAAUAGAACUUGAGGCCUCUGCUUUGAAUGCGACUGUAAUAUCUAAUGAUUUUGUAAAAUACUGAUUUCUUACUUAAGAUUUUACAUUGAGUAGCAAUAACACUCCCUCUAAAAACAUUGCAAAAUAGUGGUUGCCUCAGAGAAAAGCCCUGGGUCUUGAAUAUUUCAGAAGAACUCCUACCAUAGGAUGUAAAGAAAACUGUUUCUUUGAAAAGGGUUCCCAGCAAUGGAUAUUAAUUGGCUUGGGCGUAUUGUACACUCCAUGCUUCUCUACAGGUGAAUGAAUGUAACUUUGUUCUGUGUAAACACCAGAGCUGGUCUUUCUAAACUGUUUUACAUUUAUGAAUGGAUGCUUAUGAAUGUUAGGAAUAUUUUUAUUGGUAUAGUUGCAAGAAUCUCUUCAUUUUUGUCUCUAUUUGUAGUCACAAUGUGAAAAGCAAUAGUAUAUAGCUUUUCACCAAAUGUGCUCUUUGAAUAUUUCUAGAAAUCAAGCCUAUUUUGAUUAAAUGAUAUGAAAUAAGUCUGGUAUCUUAUUUUUUAAACAAGCUAGCAAUGACUUCAUUUGCGAGGUCAAGAAUAAAACUGUAAUUUUUUAGUGUGGUAGAGAAAAAUAGGUUGAGCACUGAGUUGAAAGUCUUGAUUUCUGUCAAGUUCUGCUACUAAUAAUCUUUGUCACCUCAGACAGAAGAGACACCUGUAAAAGAUGGGAAUUGGAAUCCAGGAUAUCCAAGGAUACUUUUAAUUCUUAAAAUUCUAUGAUUCUAAUUUAUCUGGAUUUUCUCCAAUUGAUUUCUUAGCUUAACUGUAAUCUGACACAUCUUUGACUUUUACUGAUUUGUUAUUAUCAUUAAUGGUGUGCUAAACAUGGGGGGAGAGAAAUACAGAUGUUUUAAAGGCCCUUGGCCAGUUUCUUCUGUGGUAGAAACAACCAGAAAGCAAUAUGGAGAAGUGGUUAAGAGCAAGGGUUUGGCAGAAUGAAUCCUAGCUCCACUAUUAACUGACAAAGAUUUAAACUUUCUGAGCCUCUGUUGAAUUUGCAUCAUCUAUAACAUAGGAAUGAUAAUGCCUAUGUUGCAGGAUUGUGUAAAUAGAUGUCUUUCCAGUGUUUAUUAUAUAUCUUGGGACAUGAGUAAGUACCCACCUCCCCGCCUCCUCUGUUCCGCAACCCCGUACCAAAAGGAAUAGGUAUCAUUGUUAAUACUGGUGACGGUGAUGUAUCUUCCACCAUAACAGGAAGGACAGAGUAAAACUGCCAAGAAAUUCUACAGUUAAAAAGUGAAUAAUUCUCAUCCUGGAAGAAUGCCCUUUCUGAAACAACAACGAAAAUGUGUUCCCUAUAAUAAUAUCAACUAGUUGUUAACAUCCUGGCCAUUUCCUAGAUUGUUUAUAGAAUUCUUGUAAUACCUUCUAGAAGACCACUUUUUUGCCCAAUUAUAUAUUAUCACGGAUCUCACUUCAAAGGCUUUCUUCUUUUUAACGUAAUAGGGGAAAGAGGCUUUAUUUCACCUGUGCCUUAAUAGAUAUACCUAUUAGACAAAAGGUGUCUAUGACGAUUCAUAAAGAAAACCUAGGUUUCACCAAGAAUCACAUUUAUAUGCCAAAGAAUUUACUAUGACCAAUCACAUUAAAGACCUGAAUCCCAGAAAUGAUUGCAUGCAUUGGGCUAUGUGAUGAUCUCACAAAGUAUCUACUACUUAAAUCAUAUUGAUGGUACAAUAAACAGUAGAAAGUCAAAUUGUACAUUUAUUGUUGACAUAUUGCAAAACCUCUGCUCCCCUCUAAAGGUUUUCUCUACACACAGCUUCGUGCUCUUGACAGCAGUGUGCUACUGGGAUCUUGGGGACGUGGUGCUGGGAGUCAUUUCAGCACCCCAGGCCUCCUAAUCCUUCCCUUCAACCACCCUGGGUCUCUUUAAAAUGACUCAAAUAACUGCGCUGUCAGUUUCAUCUUCAUGGCAGCCAAGAUAACUUAAUGGGCUCAUGAUUAGACAGAGCUGAGAUGGCCCUGAGUUUGAGAGGCUUAAAGAUAUGAGUGGAUGGUUUCUCAAUUAGACUGCUCUGCUUGGAAUUUGUUACUGGUCCAUCUCCCUCCUGACUGUAGCUACUCUCAGCUCUUGUGAUUAUUUUUAGGAGUUAACUGAAAGCACCCACAAAUGUAAGCAUAUUAAAACAGAUAUUUUUUUUUUUAACAAGGAAUGAACAUGUGACUAGAUAGUAAAAUUUCUUUGAAUGGGUACCUGUGCAGAUUACUCUUUUCUCAUUACCAUUCAUGUAUAGGAACAUCGUGAACCCACUGAAAGUUGGGAAUUCAUGUUUAAUUUGUCAUCUAAAAGUAUAUUAUUCAUUCCACCUUAAUAUUGAUCACUAUUUUACAAGUUUUCUAAAACUGUAAGAAUUAAUUUAUCUACCUACCCCUGAAAUAUAAUUUAAGAUAUUAACAAUAAACUUCUGUACUUAGGACCUAUUUUAAAAUUUUGAUUAACUUCAACUCUAAAUUACCUUUGCUUUCACUUGAAUUUUACCCCAUAAACACCUUUUAUGGCAAUCCAAUGGAGAACCCGGUAUCCAAACUACUAGUUCUUGAAGUAGACUGUUCUUUGAGGUAGUUAUAAAAUUUGGGAAAGAUAAAAGCCAAUUGUAUCAUCCUUUGUGUUGCAAGUUCAUGUAUUUAUUUUCAAUUAGGAAACUACAUUUUUAGUUCAGAUUUACCUGAUAAUAUCUUUCAUAGUGUGGUGAAGUUAACACAUUCUUUGGAUGCAUUUUAAUGGAAAAUAACAAGUGUAGCAUUAAGAGCAGAACAGUGUUAAUUUUCAUUUAUUUGAAAAUAAGUUAAUAAAGAAAAUAUUGCUCUCUUGCUAAGCAAAGAUGUACUUUGCUCUAUGAUCUACCUGACAGGUACCUGCUCUUCGGAUAUCUGGAAUUUGAAUCUACAUUCAGAUGUAUAAUUAUCCACAGUAGAAAAAUUCUUUAAAAUUCAUUUGUAAAUAUUAUAUCUACUCAACCAGAUGUGAGAAGUUUUAAUAUGCCAUGUAUUUGUUAACUGAUUCUUUAAUAUUUCACCUCUUUUUUCUGGGGUUUGUACUGAUAAAGGACCCUAUAGAAAGAAUUUUAAAGAAAUUUCUGCCCAAGAUAUAUGAAUAGGGAAUAACUGUAAGUUAUAAGCAUGCCUACAAAUUAAAUACAUACAUUAUACAUGAAUACAAUGCAUAUAAACAUAUGCUAGGUGGUGGUUGCAUAAGGGAAUUCUUAGAGGUUGUUUAAGUUCAGUGAAACCUUUUAAAAGUCUGGAGUUAUUUCUGUAAUAAUUGAAUUAUGUUCAUCCUUUUGGAGACUGCAUGUAGGGAGCUCUUCAAGUGAUUAAGCUCUGAGAUGAAACAAAGUGAAUGAUGGUCUUUAAAUUAUUAAACAGUGGUUUAAUAUUAUUUUAUUCAAUGGGUGAUUUCAAAGAUGAGAAGUCACUCUAUAAAUAACUUGGGCCAUUUUCUGCCAAGAAGUUCACUUUUGGGAAUUUUAAUCUCCUAAUAUACAGCAUAUACUUUAUUCUUACUUGGGUCGUACAGAACAUUUUGUCCUUUUCUUUUUCCAAGAGCUUGAACUGGAAUAAUUCACUAAACCCCUAUUCUUAUUGUUAUAUGACACUGUGCUUCUGAACUGGAACCCCAAAUAUUCUUACACAAGACUUAUUAGUAGGACACAUUUUAUGGGCUCAAGCCUUUAUUUGAGAACCGAUAACCUGUUUGCUAGGUUCUCUGUGUCCUUUGUGGUUUUGCUUGUCAUAUUUUUCUCUUUAUAAGUUACUUUUGUUGUAUCUAAACAAAAUAUUCUGAUGAGAUCAGAUACAUUUAGGGUGGUAUGUCAAUAGACUAAAUGAAGUAUUCUGAGCAAUUUCCUUUCAUGGAACUCAUAUCAUGGUCGGAAUAACCUUAAGAAUAAACUCUCCAGUAAAAAAGCCCAUAUUCCUACAUGAGCAAAGCAACUAAGAAAAAAUGAGUAAAGCUGUAAGACUGGGACAAAGGAACUCCACAGCCUAUUCCCUUUCUAAAGAGGGGAAGGGAAUUCCUGUUGUGGCUCAGUGGUAAUGAACCCAACUAGAAUCCAUGAGGACACCAAUUUAAUCCCCAGCCCUGCUCAGUGGGUUAAGGAUCUGGCUUUACUGUGGCUGUGGUGUAGGCCUACAGCUGCAGCUCUGAUUCUACCCCAGCUUGGGAACUUCCAUAUGCCAUUGGUGA
rnacentral:lncRNA from 1 species